CGGCCACCGUCGUGGGGCUUGUCUUUUCNAUAUCCCUCGGAUGCUUUGUUCUUGCGGCGGAGGGACGAUGCUUUGUCGGUGCUUGUGUGGGUACCCAUCUUGUGGAACGGCUUUUUGCCUUCGACGGGUUGUUUUCUCCCCUCUAUUGCGAUAGAUUCUGUGGGCUUUUGAAAUGCUGGCUUUAUCCUCGAGCGCACACCGGGGGAAUGCUCGUGUGCUGCUCGCUCGGUUAUUGUCGUCUCUCGUGGAUGCUGUGGCUAUGUGGGAUUCCGCGGUCCUGUUGGUCCGCAAGUUUCUGUUGAUUUCCCCUCGCACGCAAAGAUUGCUCCCCUCCCCUCGCUCUUGCGGAACGACUUUGGCUUUGUCACGGGCGGAGCGGUGGGAUGCUGAUGGGGUUUGCGGGGGCAGCGCUUUUGUGCGAUUGCGUUAUGAUUUAUUAUUA
rnacentral:misc_RNA from 1 species